UACGAAGGGGGCUAGCGUUGUUCGGAAUUACUGGGCGUAAAGCGCACGUAGGCGGACUAUUAAGUCAGGGGUGAAAUCCCGGGGCUCAACCCCGGAACUGCCUUUGAUACUGGUAGUCUCGAGUCCGGAAGAGGUGAGUGGAAUUCCUGGUGUAGCGGUGAAAUGCGCAGAUAUCAGGAGGAACACCAAUGGCGAAGGCAGCUCGCUGGGACGGUACUGACGCUAAGGCGCGAAAGCGUGGGGAGCGAACAGG
rnacentral:rRNA from 1 species